UACGUAGGGUGCGAGCGUUAAUCGGAAUUACUGGGCGUAAAGCGUGCGCAGGCGGUUCUCCAAGUCCGUUGUGAAAGCCCCGGGCUCAACCUGGGAAUGGCAGAGGAAACUAGGGGACUGGAAUCUGGCAGAGGGGGGUGGAAUGCCGCGUGUAGCAGUGAAAUGCGUAGAGAUGCGGCGGAACACCGAUGGCGAAGGCAGCCCCCUGGGCUGAGAUUGACGCUCAGGCACGAAAGCGUGGGGAGCAAACAGG
rnacentral:rRNA from 1 species